AACGAACGCUGGCGGCAGGCCUAACACAUGCAAGUCGAGCGGACCCUUCGGGGUUAGCGGCGGACGGGUGAGUAACGCGUGGGAAUAUGCCCUUCUCUACGGAAUAGUCCUGGGAAACUGGGGGUAAUACCGUAUACGCCCUUUGGGGGAAAGAUUUAUCGGGGAAGGAUUAGCCCGCGUUGGAUUAGGUAGUUGGUGGGGUAAUGGCCUACCAAGCCGACGAUCCAUAGCUGGGUUGAGAGGAUGAUCAGCCGCACUGGGACUGAGACACGGCCCAGACUCCUCCGGGAGGCAGCAGUGGGGAAUCUUAGACAAUGGGGGCAACCCUGAUCUAGCCCUGCCGCGUGAGUGAUGAAGGCCUUAGGGUUGUAAAGCUCUUUCAGCUGGGAAGAUAAUGACGGUACCAGCAGAAGAAGCCCCGGCUAACUCCGUG
rnacentral:rRNA from 1 species